rnacentral:lncRNA from 1 species
UGAACACCUCGACCUUCUCUGCACAGCAGGUGAAUGAUCCCUGAGCAGCUGAAGACCAGAAAAGCCACUAAGACUUUCUGCUUAAUUCAGGAGCUUAGAGGAUUCUUCAAAGAGUGUGUCCAGCAUCCUUUGAAGCAUGAGUUCUUACCAGCAGAAGCAGACCUUUACCCCACCACCUCAGCUUCAACAGCAGCAGGUGAAACAACCCAGCCAGCCUCCACCUCAGGAAAUAUUUGUUCCCACAACCAAGGAGCCAUGCCACUCAAAGGUUCCACAACCUGGAAACACAAAGAUUCCAGAGCCAGGCUGUACCAAGGUCCCUGAGCCAGGCUGUACCAAGGUCCCUGAGCCAGGCUGUACCAAGGUCCCUGAGCCAGGUUGUACCAAGGUCCCUGAGCCAGGCUGUACCAAGGUCCCUGAGCCAGGUUGUACCAAGGUCCCUGAGCCAGGCUACACCAAGGUCCCUGAACCAGGCAGCAUCAAGGUCCCUGACCAAGGCUUCAUCAAGUUUCCUGAGCCAGGUGCCAUCAAAGUUCCUGAGCAAGGAUACACCAAAGUUCCUGUGCCAGGCUACACAAAGCUACCAGAGCCAUGUCCUUCAACGGUCACUCCAGGCCCAGCUCAGCAGAAGACCAAGCAGAAGUAAUUUGGUGCACAGACAAGCCCUUGAGAAGCCAACCACCAGAUGCUGGACACCCUCUUCCCAUCUGUUUCUGUGUCUUAAUUGUCUGUAGACCUUGUAAUCAGCACAUUGUCACCCCAAGCCAUAGUCUCUCUCUUAUUUGUAUCCUAAAAAUACGUACUAUAAAGCUUUUGUUCACACACACUCUGAAGAAUCCUGUAAGCCCCUGAAUUAAGCAGAAAGUCUUCAUGGCUUUUCUGGUCUUCGGCUGCUCAGGGUUCAUCUGAAGAUUCGAAUGAAAAGAAAUGCAUGUUUCCUGCUCUUCCCUCAUUAAAUUGCUUUUAAU